rnacentral:rRNA from 1 species
ACGAACGCUGGCGGCGUGCUUAACACAUGCAAGUCGAACGGAAAGGCCCUGCUUUUGUGGGGUGCUCGAGUGGCGAACGGGUGAGUAACACGUGAGUAACCUGCCCUUGACUUUGGGAUAACUUCAGGAAACUGGGCUAAUACCGGAUAGGAGCUCCUGCUGCAUGGUGGGGGUUGGAAAGUUUCGGCGGUUGGGGAUGGACUCGCGGCUUAUCAGCUUGUUGGUGGGGUAGUGGCUUACCAAGGCUUUGACGGGUAGCCGGCCUGAGAGGGUGACUGGCCACAUUGGGACUGAGAUACGGCCCAGACUCCUACGGGAGGCAGCAGUGGGGAAUAUUGCACAAUGGGCGGAAGCCUGAUGCAGCAACGCCGCGUGCGGGAUGACGGCCUUCGGGUUGUAAACCGCUUUCGCCUGUGACGAAGCGUGAGUGACGGUAAUGGGUAAAGAAGCACCGGCUAACUACGUG